GAUGAACGCUGGCGGCGUGCCUAAUACAUGCAAGUCGAGCGAACGGACGAGAAGCUUGCUUCUCUGAUGUUAGCGGCAGACGGGUGAGUAACACGUGGAUAACCUACCUAUAAGACUGGGAUAACUUCGGGAAACCGGAGCUAAUACCGGAUGAUAUUUUGAACCGCAUGGUUCAAAAGUGAAAGACGGUCUUGCUGUCACUUAUAGAUGGAUCCGCGCUGCAUUAGCUAGUUGGUAAGGUAACGGCUUACCAAGGCAACGAUGCAUAGCCGACCUGAGAGGGUGAUCGGCCACACUGGAACUGAGACACGGUCCAGACUCCUACGGGAGGCAGCAGUAGGGAAUCUUCCGCAAUGGGCGAAAGCCUGACGGAGCAAUGCCGCGUGAGUGAUGAAGGUCUUCGGAUCGUAAAACUCUGUUAUUAGGGAAGAACAUAUGUGUAAGUAACUGUGCACAUCUUGACGGUACCUAAUCAGAAAGCCACGGCUAACUACGUG
rnacentral:rRNA from 1 species